UACGUAGGGGGCAAGCGUUGUCCGGAUUCAUUGGGCGUAAAGAGCGUGUAGGCGGCCAGGUAGGUCGGUUGUGAAAACUGGAGGCUCAACCUUCAGAGGUCGACCGAAACCAUCUGGCUAGAGUCCGGGAGAGGAGAGUGGAAUUCCUGGUGUAGCGGUGAAAUGCGCAGAUAUCAGGAAGACCAGUGGCGAAGGCGGGUCUCUGGACAGUUCCUGACACUGAGGCGCGAAAGCCAGGGGAGCAAACGGG
rnacentral:rRNA from 1 species